AUUGAACGCUGGCGGCAGGCCUAACACAUGCAAGUCGAACGGUAACAGGAAACAGCUUGCUGUUUCGCUGACGAGUGGCGGACGGGUGAGUAAUGUCUGGGAAACUGCCUGAUGGAGGGGGAUAACUACUGGAAACGGUAGCUAAUACCGCAUAACGUCGCAAGACCAAAGAGGGGGACCUUCGGGCCUCUUGCCAUAGGAUGUGCCCAGAUGGGAUUAGCUAGUAGGUGGGGUAACGGCUCACCUAGGCGACGAUCCCUAGCUGGUCUGAGAGGAUGACCAGCCGCACUGGAACUGAGACACGGUCCAGACUCCUACGGGAGGCAGCAGUGGGGAAUAUUGCACAAUGGGCGCAAGCCUGAUGCAGCCAUGCCGCGUGUAUGAAGAAGGCCUUCGGGUUGUAAAGUACUUUCAGCGGGGAGGAAGGGAGUAAAGUCAAUACCUUUGCUCAUUGACGUUACCCGCAGAAGAAGCACCGGCUAACUCCGUGCCAGCCGCCGCGGUAA
rnacentral:rRNA from 1 species